AUUUAUAUAGUUUAAAAAAAAACAUUAUAUUUUCAAUAUAAAAUUAGAAAAAUUUUCUUAUAAAUU
rnacentral:tRNA from 1 species